AACGAACGCUGGCGGCAUGCCUAACACAUGCAAGUCGAACGAGACCUUCGGGUCUAGUGGCGCACGGGUGCGUAACGCGUGGGAACCUGCCCUUAGGUUCGGAAUAACUCCCCGAAAGGGGUGCUAAUACCGGAUAAUGUCUUCGGACCAAAGAUUUAUCGCCUUUGGAUGGGCCCGCGUUGGAUUAGCUAGUUGGUAGGGUAAAAGCCUACCAAGGCGGCGAUCCAUAGCUGGUCUGAGAGGAUGAUCAGCCACACUGGGACUGAGACACGGCCCAGACUCCGACGGGAGGCAGCAGUGGGGAAUAUUGGACAAUGGGCGAAAGCCUGAUCCAGCAAUGCCGCGUGAGUGAUGAAGGCCUUAGGGUUGUAAAGCUCUUUUACCCGGGAUGAUAAUGACAGUACCGGGAGAAUAAGCUCCGGCUAACUCCGUG
rnacentral:rRNA from 1 species